rnacentral:rRNA from 1 species
ACGACGCUGGCGGCGUGGAUAAGACAUGCAAGUCGAGCGAUGAUCCAACGAUAGCAAUAUUGGAGGGGAUUAGCGGCGAACGGGUGAGUAACACGUAGGAAUCUGCCCUGAAGUUCGGAAUAGCCCAGUGAGAGCCGGGAUAAUACCGGAUGUGAUCUUCGGAUUAAAGGCUUCGGCCGCUUCAGGAUGAGCCUGCGCUCCAUCAGCUUGUUGGUAGGGUAAAAGCCUACCAAGGCGAGGACGGAUAGCUGGUCUGAGAGGACGGCCAGCCACAAUGGAACUGAGACACGGUCCAUACACCUACGGGUGGCAGCAGUCGAGAAUCAUUCACAAUGGGCGAAAGCCUGAUGGUGCGACGCCGCGUGGGGGAUGAAGGCCUUCGGGUCGUAAACCCCUGUCGGUUGCGAGUAAGGCCCGGCUUACGUCGGGAUUGAUAUUAGCAACAAAGGAAGGGGCGGCUAACUCCGUGCCAGCAGCCGCGGUAAUACGGAGGCCCCAAGCGUUGUUCGGAUUUACUGGGCGUAAAGCGUGCGUAGGCGGCGAGGUAAGUUUGGCGUGAAAGCCCCGGGCCCAACCCGGGAAAUGCGCUGAAAACUACUUCACUAGAGGUGUGGAGGGGAGUCUGGAAUUCCUGGUGUAGCAGUGAAAUGCGUAGAUAUCAGGAGGAACAUCAGUGGCGAAGGCGAGACUCUGGAAACAUUCUGACGCUGAGGUACGAAGGCUAGGGUAGCGAAGAGGAUUAGAUACCCUCGUAGUCCUAGCAGUAAACGGUGUGCACUUGCUGUGGGGGGAUUCGACCCCUUCCGUGGCGAAGCUAACGCAUUAAGUGCACCGCCUGGGGAGUACGGCCGCAAGUAA